AAUGGUUCAGUCUUGAUUCAUUCUGAACUCCCUUAAACCCAGCUGUUUCUCAUUCUUAAAAGGUAGAUUGGCUGGUCAUGGUGGCACACACCUGUAAUUCCAGC